UUUUUCCAUACCACAGUUUGGAAGAUCACGAACUCCAGAUCAAUUAAGACUUCACUACGAACAAUAUCUUCGCCCUGGGGUGAAUAUCAGCACGUGGACAAAAGCAGAAGAUGAUUUGCUAGAGGUAUUGGUCAGCCAAAACGAGAAAGGGGUGGAUUGGAAGCAAGUGGCAAUUAAUAUGAAUAGCGGAAGGACAACUUUCGAUUGUUUCCGUCACUAUCAACAAAAACAUGUCGAACUCGAAGGGCGAAUGAUAAAUCCUAAAUCGCCGCUUAUGAAAAAGAAGAAGAAAGCUCCCGGAGAGCCAUCAACAAGUGCUGGUCCAAGUGAAGCUAUUGAGCCGUUAGUUGCCAUGCCCCCUUCAAAGAGAUUCAAGAUUUCGGAGUUUUGAGAGACGUUUAAAAAUUGACAGGAUUUUCACCAGCGUUCUAAUGUCUGAUGUUUGCAGCUUGUGCGGAGGUUGUCUGCACUUUUUGCUCCAACUCGUAAACUACAUCGAUUUAAAAUUAUAUCAACCCAGCAAUGUUUAAAAUGCCAAACGAUGCAGAAAUAUAAAAUCUCUGGUCUUAAUUCUUGUUAUUUAAAAAAAAAAAGGUUUGAUUACAAAUUAGGGUAAGCUGGUGAAUAGCUGGUUGGAGCUUUUAGUGACUUUUCUUAAGCCUGUAAAAAGAUUCACCCCACAUAUAAAUUUCUUAUCUUCUGUCAAGUUUUCUUGGCACCUUUCACAACAGUCCACUACGAUCAACCUUUUGAGAACAACUAGUACACCUUCAUGAUUUUCCCAAAGGUUGUACUCACCGCUGUAUUUGACACAUAAGGUUUCAAUCUUCACAUUAUCCCCCAGUGACCACUAAGUUGAUGACAUUAUCCAAAGUACAGAAGUACUUGAUAAUAAAAAAUAUAUAUAUAUUCAAGUUUUAAUUUGACAGAUGGUUUAAGUUUUUUACUGUGUAUAUUCUGGCUACUUGGUUUGACUUCUUCUUUUCUUAAAAUAGAUCAGCGUUGAACACUUUAGUGGAUUUUUAAUUUAUUGGGUAUUGAGUUAAAUAUUUCUAAGUAUCACAUACACAUGGGAUCUAGUACAUACAUUAUCUGUCCAUCUGAAUGAUGUGACUGGGAUGUGACAAGGGAUUCAUAAAGAUUAUGGUGGCAGGACUCACGAGCGCAAUUCUGAGUUAGGUGGCCACUCUGUUUCCAAAAUUAACUUGAACAGAAUCAACCUUAUUUUUUAUGGCUUCUUUGAAUUCCCUAGAAAUAGUUUGAAAAUGUACUCAAAUACAAACAAAUGAUUGAGAUUGUUGUAGACGUACUUGACACCACUUAAACUGUGACUAAUUGUUAUUGCAACUCUGCUAAAAAUCUUAAUUUUGUAAUUUCCUGUCCUGGUUGAAGUCCGUUUUAGGCUGCUGUUGUUUAAUUUUGUUCAUUUGCAACAUUCAUUCUUCCAUUUUCAUUCGUCGUCGUUUCAUUAGUCCAUAACAUUCAUUCGUCGUUGUUAAAAGACAUACUUGUCACUACUUUGAACUGUGACCAACUGUUGU